rnacentral:lncRNA from 10 species
CUCUUUUGUUCUCAUUUGUCAUUUCUUUUAAAUAUUCAUUUAGGGUAUAAGACAGAAUUGGGUAAGUAGGAUCCUUGACAGUCCAACUAGUUGGUAAACAAAUAUUUUGUCUUCCUGAAAGUAUCAUUAUACUAUCGCAAAUUAAGACUGAAAAGGAAAAAAAUACCAGGAUGUUGAUAUUUAAGAAUAAAUACUUUAUCUUUUCAGAACAACAAUAAGAAGGCUGGUUUAGGCUUUAUCGCUGGAAAAUGGAGUUUGUGAAACAAAGAAGUAAUAGAUGCAUAGCAAGAGCUCAGUGUCCUUCCACAUUGUGUCACCGGUUGUACCCUGAGACAGAUUCUCCAAGUCUUAGAACAUGGAUAUGCAGUGAGAGUGAGGUUUACGUAGAAAAGUCUUUGUGUCUUGGGAGUGCCAUGUGUAUUGAAUGUCUAUGACUCAUGUCUCCCCUUGACUCACUUCUUGGCUGGGCUACAUGACUCAUCAGGCCUGGUAGGUUCAGGGCAGUGUAGCUGGUGGGGAAGGGCUAAGUGAAGAGGGGCUGUCUAGACCUGGGGAGCAUGGUUAUAAUGAGCUUUUUCAAACGUACAACUCAACUCUCUUGCACCUAGGAAGUAUCUUCAUCCAGAAGGAGUUCUCAGUCCUUUUUCUGAUUUUAACACUGCAGUCAACUGCAGACAAAGCCGCAAUCUUGUGACUUCACAGAGCCUCAUGGGCUUUUGAGUUGACCAACUUGAGAAAAAUUUCUGACUUGAUGCAUGAAAUGAAACGAAGGCAGGUGACACAUAAAGGAAAUGACAAGACACGAUUGAAAACUAUUGACCCUCAAGUUAUCACAAAUGGUUAUGAAAUGGAAAUGGAAUGGGAAGGAGUAUGAAAAAAUAAGCUGAAUACUGACAAACCUAAGAAUUAUUUUCUUCAGCUUUGUCUUCCAAAGGACAAUGGUGUGAGGAGGACUUCAUCCUUGUGUAACACCCUGUGUGUGUGUUUUUCUUCUUUCUCUCACCAAAGCAUUUUUUUUUCCUCCCUUUUGCUGGAGGCCUGUCUCUUUCUCUUGAACAGAUCAACAAUCAGGUCGUAAAUGGGAGUUGGAGCCGGAUGAUCAAAAAGAACUUUAGAAAAAUGGGAAUAAAAGCAAGAGCUGAUGAGUUUGAAAUGAAAGCCCAUCUGGGAGAGCUCUUCUAAUGAACUCAGCCUACUCAAACUGUACAAAGAAAGCUGAAGAAUGAUUGCAGCUGCAAUCUCCAACCUACAUAAAGCACUAACGCUGGUAAGGUGAUGAAAGUGAAGGGAGGUAACUGGUAUCUGGAUUUGGAAGAGAGAAGUCAAAGGCCAUCACCCCCUUGUACUACUGCAUUCACCAUGUAAGUUCCUUCGGAAAUUUCACAGCCAAUCUGAAUUAAAGAGACAGCUGCAGAUGCUUCAGGAUGAAGGUCACACUCUGAAUUCUACGAAGAGCCCUAUGAUUCAAAAGUACCAUCUCUUUAGCCUCAGAGCAGUUGUAUACCACCUUCUCACUUGCUCUGUCCCUGGGCUAGUAUGGCUUUGAAAUUAUGUUAAAGAAGAGGCAUUUUCCCUCACAAAGACUCCCAAAAUAUGACUAUUAAGUGAAAGAACAGGUAGAGGGAGGGAAAGAGCUGAAUCUAAGUGGAGAUUAAUAAAGUGUUGUUUUGAAAUUGUUCCUUUAUUUUUCCUGGGUUAAUUAUCGCCAUUUAGUCACGACUUCCUGACACAGCACCAGAAAUUUUGUUGAAAUCUUAAUAUUCUGCAGGAAACUGACCUGACUACCAGCAGGAAUUAUAUUGACUAAUUAAUAAUGUCCAGUCUCCCUCAAGGAUAAGUCACCUCUGUCUGGCUCUAUCAUGGCCACUCUUAGAAUGAUGGUGAUGGUCCACUGAUUGUCACAUCCAAUGAAUUUAUCUGAAGUAUUUGUCCUAUGUAACCUCUUCAAAGCUUUCAGCGCCAGUCACCACCCAGUUUUCAUUUUCUUGUUUCUCUUCCUAACUCUCUCACAAUUUCUCAAUUUCCAUAAUUGUCUCCUCUUUCUCCAUGCACACUUUUAUACAUUGUUUUUCUCCAGGAUUGUACUUUUCUCCUGAUCUCACAGAGCACUCCUAAUACAGUGUUGGUUUUAUUUACAUUUAAUAUAAUUGAAAUCUGAAAUGGUAUACUCAGCUGCUCCAUGUAGAUAUUUGAGGGUACCUCAAAUUCAACAUGUCCUGAGCUGAAACUCAUCAUCUUCCACUUUACUUUGGUUCUUCUUCUAAAUUCCCUGUUAUCAGUUAAUGGAACUCUAAUUCAUCUAUAAAUUUAAGCUAGUAUCCACAGAAUUAUUAUUUUUGGGGGGGUGGGGGGUGGGGUACAGAGUCUCACUCUGUUGCUCAGGCUGGCUUGCAAUGGCACAAUCUUGGCUCACUGUAACCUCUGCCUCCCAGGUUCAAGCAAUCCUCCCAGCUCAGUCUCCUGAGUAGCUGGGAAUACAGGUGCAUGCCACCACACCUGGCUAAUUUUUGCAUUUUUAGGAGACACGGUUUCAACAUGUUGGCUAGGCUGGUCUCAAACUCCUGACCUCAAGUGAUCUGCUUGCCUCAGCCUCCCAAAGUGCUGGGAUUACAAACGUAAGCCACCACCCCCAGCCAAAGUUAUUCUUAUUUCCUUCUUUUUCUUCAUGUGUCUUAUGUAGUCAUAUAUUAUUUUACAUUUUUUCUAAUUUUUAAAAAAUUAUUUAAACAAAUUUUUAGCACACACCACCUUUGUUAUUCUCAUAAAUUGACCUCUACUCUCCAUCGUCACUUCCACUGCCUUUGUUCAGUGCCUUGUCAUUUGUUACCAGCAUCACUACGUAGAUUUCCAACUGGUGUUUUGGUCUGCGAUAUUGUAUCCCCUUACCCACAGCUAUUCCAUCUGUCUUUCAUAGUGAACAGAAUGUACAUACAUAAAGUUGAUCAUGUACUCAUCUUAUUUAAAUGUUCGUGGUCUUUUUACCUGUAAAAAUCCAAAUAGAUUAGUAAAACAUCAGUUCACUUAACCUAGCUUUCCAACCCCGAUCUCUUGACAUUACACUCCUUUUGCUAUGAAUUUUAUGCUUUAUUCAGACUUCAAUCUCACCCUUUCUAGAUCUGGUUUUUCCUUUUUAUUUAAAAUGUCUUGUUUGGCAAGCUCCUGCUUACUAUACAAAAUCUAUCUCAGAUGUGCCCUUCUCUGUGAUUCAUUCUCUCCAAUUUCCCUAGUUGAUUCUCAGCUUAUGCUAGCAUUUUAAGUCUUUGUUUUUCUGCUUUUCAUCACUAUUUUAAGAGUGGGCCCAAACCAUGUCUUCUCAACUUUUGCAUCUCUAUUGCCUAUCAAAGUUCCUUACACAAAGAAGUUUCUAGAUAAUUACUCAAUGGAUGAAUGAAUACAUGGGAGUCUUUUGCCUCUCAUCUCACAUUUAUAAGAGUGUCCCCACUCUGAUGUACCUUGAAGGUGGAAGAAACUUACUAUUCCAAGUGGUGUUGAAAGCGGAGAAGUUGUGACAGGACAAGAAGUGUUUUUCUAAUCUAAACCAGGUAUCUUAUUUCCCUAUAUUUGCUUCUAUCAUUUUCUCUACUCCUCUAGGUCUAGAAAAAUGAUGAUAUCUAUGAUACAUCUACGUUAUACUAUAAUAGAUAUGUGAAACUAAAUUUUUUGUCACUCUUUUAAAUUGUUUUAAAUUGACAUGUAAUAAUUGUGCAUAUUCAUUACAUGUGAUGUUUCAAUACAUAUAAUGUAUAGUGAUCAGAUCAGGGCAAUCAACAUAUACAUCAUCUCAAACAUUUGUCAUUUCUUUGUGUUGAGAAGGUUCAAUAACCUACUUUUAGCUAUUUGAAAUUAUAUAUUAUUGUUAACUCUAGUCAUCCUAUCUUGGUACAGAAUGCAUUAGAACUUAUUUCCCUUAUCUAGCUGUAGUUUUGUAUUCUUUAACAAAUCUCUUAUCAUCCAAACAGUAAAUUAAAAAAUAAAUACAAUAUGCAGGGGAAACUGCAUAACUCAAAUUCUAAAAAUAUGCUUAAGAGUGAAAACAAAAACUGAUUUCGAAUAUAUUGAUGCCCUUUCUGUAUUUGGUAGACUUAAAUAUGAACAUUUGUAUUAUCUUUUGUUAGUGUCUCUUGACUUAGAGGCUUAUAUUUAAGGAUCCCAAUAAAUAUUUUUUAAUCCAUACUCAAUGUCAUACUGAGGACUAACCACCUAUGAGUUUAUAGAGGGAUUGUGAUUAGAUCAUAAUCAGUUUUCUCACUGAUCUAUUGAAGCAGGUUAAUUUGGUCUCACAGAACUUUAAAAUUUUUUCUUUCUCUACUUCAUUUCACUGUGAAAUUAGCAAUUAUUUUUUCCUGUAAGGUAAUAAUAUGAUCAAGAAGAAAAACAGGAAGGCUGAUAAAGAGAUAUGUACAGUAGAAUUUUCUCCACUGAUCCUUUGUCUGGAAGGCAACUAAAAUUUAGGCAGUCCAGAUUCUUUCAGUCAACAGGAGGCACUGUAGUUAUUCAGAUAAAACUAUGUUUCAUUCCUUAAUUUUGGUAAAUACCAUCCUAUAUUUAUUUUCUUGGAUUAUUAUAAAACACAAUCUCAGAAUUCUGUAUAUCACAUCUGAAUCUGCAAUCUGAAUUAAGCAAAAGAAAAAACUUAGAAUGAGAUUAAUUUUAUUUGUCUAACUGACUGGGCUAAGUGGUGCUUAGACAGUUGUUUAAACAUUAUUCCUGGAUGUGUCUGUGAGGGUGUUUCUGGAUGAGAUUAACAUUUGAAUUGGUAGACUGAGAAAGCAGAUUGAUCUUCCCAAAUGUGGGUAGGCCUCACCUAAUCCAUUGAAGGCCUGAAUAGAAUAAAAGGCUAAGUAAGAAAGAAUUAUCUCUCAUUACCUGCCUUCAAGCUAGGACAUUAGUUUUCUCCUGCCUUCACACUUGGACUUGGACUGAAAUUACUUUCACACUAUCAGCUUUCCUGAGUCUUCAGCUUAUUGGCUGUAGAUUUUGAGACUUCUCAGCUUCCAUAAUCAUGUGAGCCAUUUUAAAAUUUUAUCUAUCUAUCUAUCUAUCUGUCUGUCUGUCUGUCUAUCUUCUAUGGGUUUUGUUUCUCUGAAGAAAUCAGACUAAUACAGUAAGUUUUAACAAAAUAUUUUAAGUAAGCUGAGCUUAGCUCAAUCAAAUGAAUAAUAAUACAUUAUUGUCUUUUAUACCUUGCUCUUUAUCACACUCUAAGAAGAUAUUUCUUAAAGUCCUUAUUCUCUUAUCCUCAAUCACAGUAUUACCCACCCCCCCAAAAAAAACUUUACUAAAGGAAGUUGCUGCUGUAGCUCAUCAACAUAUGUCCUUAUAUUUAAAGAAUAUUGGUGUGUAUAGCUUUAGUCAGAGGUGGAUUAUCUAGUUUCUUUACUAUAUUAAUCAUUGUAUUCUGUCCUGAGACUAGAAUAUACUGAUAUAAUAGACAGUGUAGACUGGGCACAGUGGCUCACACCUAUAAUCCCAGCAUUUUGGGAGGCCCAGGUGGGCAGAUCACUUGAGGCCAGGAAUUUGAGACCAGCCUGGGCAACAUGGCAAAACCCCUGUCUGUACUAAAAAUACAAAAAUUAGCCAGGCAUAGUGUCACAUGAUUAUAGUCCCUGAUACUUAGAGAUUGAGAUACAGAAUCGCUUGAACCUGGGAGGCAGAGGUUGCAGUGAGCUGAGAUUAUGCCACUGCACUCCAGCCUGGGUGACAGAGUGAGACUCCUUCUCAAAAAAAAAAAAAAAAAAAAAAAAGAAAGACAGUGUACAUAUCAUAUAUUUUUGUUCAUGUGUUCUUUCUGUGUCACUUCCUCUCAUUCCAUCUUUUUUUUUUUUUUUUGGCUAUAUUCUUUGCUUUGAGGACAUGAGUCAAUGUAAGAAAAUGGCUUAUUUAUAUAUCCUUCCCUUUUUGCUCUUAUGCAGUGUGAGUCCCUUAAAGUCCCUUAAUCUUUAUGAACAUUCUUCUGUCUAAAUAAGACCUUGUGCCAUGUCACACGAUGCUUCACAUUAAAAUUAUACCUCUGCUAGACUGUAAAAUUAAGGAAGUCAGAGUCCCUAAUUUAUUUUUUCUAAGUGUAUCAGUGCAGUAAUGAUUUGAGUGCACAAAAAUCCUACGGGUAUUCAAUAAAAAAUUCUGUAACAAUAAAGAUAAUUUCAAAAAUAAAAUUUCUGAUUUAUCAUUGUACCUUUGUAUAAUACCUGAAUCACAGAAUACUGUGACAGAGGGUAAGAAAAUAGGAACUUUAUGAAAUAUGCCCUGAGAGGACAGAAUCAGAGUGGAAGUGAUCAAAGAAUGCAUUGUUUAUUAAGUAGAAAGCUUUCUCUAAGUGAGCCCACGUAGAUUUCUUUCCCCAUC